CUACCAAACAUUGGUUUUGAGGAGAAGAUUUUUAGCAGUCUUUUUUAGCUCAAGCUAUGUGGGAGAAUAAAAACCACACUCCACAGUGAGCUGUAUCAUUUCUAGGCAAUUCAUUACUGUUUUGUGGCCUGAAAG